UACGUAGGGACCAAGCGUUGUUCGGAUUUACUGGGCGUAAAGGGCGCGUAGGCGGCGCGGUAAGUCACUUGUGAAAUCUCUGAGCUUAACUCAGAACGGCCAAGUGAUACUGCAGUGCUAGAGUGUGGAAGGGGCAAUCGGAAUUCCAGGUGUAGCGGUGAAAUGCGUAGAUAUCUGGAGGAAUACCGGUGGCGAAGGCGGCAUCCUGGACCGGCAUUGACGCUGAUGAGCGAAAGCUAGGGGAGCAAACGGG
rnacentral:rRNA from 1 species